rnacentral:rRNA from 1 species
UACGAAGGGUGCAAGCGUUACUCGGAAUUACUGGGCGUAAAGCGUGCGUAGGUGGUUCGUUAAGUCUGAUGUGAAAGCCCUGGGCUCAACCUGGGAAUGGCAUUGGAUACUGGCGACCUAGAGUGCGGUAGAGGGUGGCGGAAUUCCCGGUGUAGCAGUGAAAUGCGUAGAUAUCGGGAGGAACAUCCGUGGCGAAGGCGGCCACCUGGACCAGCACUGACACUGAGACGCGAAAGCGUGGGGAGCAAACAGG